UACGAAGGGGGCGAGUGUUGUUCGGAAUUACUGGGCGUAAAGGGCGCGCAGGCGGCUCUGAAAGUCAGAUGUGAAAGCCCCGGGCUUAACCUGGGAAUUGCAUUUGAUACUCUGGAGCUUGAGUACGGGAGAGGAGAGUGGAAUUCCCAGUGUAGAGGUGAAAUUCGUAGAUAGUUGGGAAGAACACCGGUGGCGAAGGCGGCUCUCUGGACCGUAACUGACGCUGAGGCGCGAAAGCGUGGGGAGCAAACAGG
rnacentral:rRNA from 1 species